rnacentral:lncRNA from 1 species
UUACUUGUUUGGAAGCUGACAUCUACCCUGGGACAGCUUCCUUCUGGAAACUGUGGUCCAUUAGCAUCAGUUACCAUUAGGUCCAAGCUGUGAACAAGCAUCCCUGAGUGCCUUGUCCUUCACUGAUUAUUAAAAGAAAAGCCCGGGCCCAUUAAAGUCAAUGAAAGUUUUCCCUGUAUUCUUUUUCUCAAAGAUGCUCCAACAUCACCCAUAGGGAUAAGCUCUGUGCAUGCAUCCCUGGUCCACAUUUGACCUGCAGAAAACAGACUGUGCAACUUUAGUCACUUUUAAUUUGUUCCUGUGUGAUCUUAUCUAAACAAUGCUAACACUAGUCAGACUGAACUAUUUGUUAGAAAGCCUUUAUCUGUCAUAGAAAAAAAUGCUAAAAGAAAUUUUAUUUUGAUAGGUGAAACACAUUUUCAUCUAGAACUACAGAUAUUUAAGAACAUUUCUAGGUUUCAACACAAAAUGCAUUAGAGUCUUUGAAUGAAAAGCUUUAUAAAAAUGUAAAUGCACUCCACAAUAAUUACAGUGACAAUAGAUUUUGUUUUCAGCAGCCUUACAAGCACACGGGCUUACAGCACUGCGUUUGGAGCAGGGCUGGUUACACAGCCACGUUGGUUUGAACAGCAGUUUAAAGACAAACAGGAAAGGAAGGUCUUUGACCGGAGAGGCUGACAAUUUAAAUAAGGCUGACAAUCUAACACACAGAGGCAAAAGUGCUGUUCAGUGGGUAGAAAGGGCAACAACACACACGAAGCAAUGGGAAGCGAUCUUGCGAGAGCAUUAUUUUGAAGGAAUCCAGGUUUCAGAAGUGAAGGAAUAGAAAUCAAAGUAAGAAAUGUUCUCAAUAUUCUUGGAACAAGCAAUUCUUCAUAUUACUACUUUUUAUGGGAAAUGCUUAGCAUUACAUGAGAAACCUAGGAUCACAGCACAGACAUGGAAGAAAUGCCCUUGCCUCCCUGUUGGCUUGGGCAGGCAGCAGCGCCACACCAGCUCCACAUGUGCCUCCACAUGGCUCCUCUCACUGACCCUGUACAUUAAAGGAGCUACAGGGCCCUCUAAAAAUGUUGGCAGAUGGUCUCCGACACCGAAGCACGGCCUAAAGCCUGCACCUUUCCUCCAGACUGAAAAUGGCAGCCUUAGAAGAAAAAGUGCCAUAUUUUCAAGACUGGAAUAA